AGAUUAAGUUAUUAAGGGCGCACGGUGGAUACCUUGGCACUAGAAGCCUAUGAAGGACGUUACUAACGACGAUAUGCUUUGGGGAGCUGUAAGUAAGCUUUGAUCCAGAGAUUUCCGAAUGGGGAAACCCAGCACGAGUUAUGUCGUGUUAUCGAUAUGUGAAUACAUAGCAUAUUCGAAGGCAGACGCGGAGAACUGAAACAUCUUAGUACCCGCAGGAAGAGAAAGAAAAAUCGAUUCCCUGAGUAGCGGCGAGCGAAACGGGAAGAGCCCAAACCAACGAGCUUGCUUGUUGGGGUUGUAGGACACUCUAUACGGAGUUACAAAAGAACAAAUUAGACGAAGCAUCUGGAAAGAUGAAUCAAAGAAGGUAAUAAUCCUGUAGUCGAAAGUUUGUUCACUCUUGAGUGGAUCCUGAGUACGGCGGAACACGAGAAAUUCCGUCGGAAUCCGGGAGGACCAUCUCCCAAGGCUAAAUACUCUCUAGUGACCGAUAGUGAACCAGUACCGUGAGGGAAAGGUGAAAAGUACCCCGGAAGGGGAGUGAAAUAGAACUUGAAACCGUGUGCUUACAAGUAGUCAGAGCCCGUUAAUGGGUGAUGGCGUGCCUUUUGUAGAAUGAACCGGCGAGUUACGAUUUGAUGCAAGGUUAAGCAGUAAAUGUGGAGCCGUAGCGAAAGCGAGUCUGAAUAGGGCGUUGAGUAUUUGGUCGUAGACCCGAAACCAGGUGAUCUACCCAUGACCAGGCUGAAGUUCAGGUAACACUGAAUGGAGGGCCGAACCGACUUACGUUGAAAAGUGAGCGGAUGAGUUGUGGGUAGCGGAGAAAUUCCAAUCGAACCUGGAGAUAGCUGGUUCUCUCCGAAAUAGCUUUAGGGCUAGCCUCAAGUGAUGAUUAUUGGAGGUAGAGCACUGUUUGGACGAGGGGCCCUUAUCGGGUUACCGAAUUCAGACAAACUCCGAAUGCCAAUCAAUUUAACUUGGGAGUCAGAACGCGGGUGAUAAGGUCCGUGUUCGAGAGGGAAACAGCCCAGACCACCAGCUAAGGUCCCAAAAUAUAUGUUAAGUGGAAAAGGAUGUGGCGUUGCCCAGACAACUAGGAUGUUGGCUUAGAAGCAGCCAUCAUUUAAAGAGUGCGUAAUAGCUCACUAGUCGAGUGACACUGCGCCGAAAAUGUACCGGGGCUAAACAUAUUACCGAAGCUGUGGAUUGUCCGUAGGACAAUGGUAGGAGAGCGUUCUAAGGGCGUUGAAGCAUGAUCGCAAGGACAUGUGGAGCGCUUAGAAGUGAGAAUGCCGGUGUGAGUAGCGAAAGACGGGUGAGAAUCCCGUCCACCGAUUGACUAAGGUUUCCAGAGGAAGGCUCGUCCGCUCUGGGUUAGUCGGGUCCUAAGCUGAGGCCGAUAGGCGUAGGCGAUGGAUAACAGGUUGAUAUUCCUGUACCACCAAAAUUCGUUUUGAGCGAUGGGGGGACGCAGUAGGAUAGGCGAAGCGUGCUGUUGGAGUGCACGUCCAAGCAAUAAGACUGAGUAUUAGGCAAAUCCGGUACUCUUAAGGUCAAGUUGUGAUGGGGAGAGGAAAUUUUUU
rnacentral:rRNA from 1 species